AGAAGGUUGUAAAGAACCUUGUAAAGUGAUUUUUGUCCCAGACUGUGUUAGGGACAUUUUUCUCCAUAGAUUAAUAAAGAAAAUAUUUUUUCAGUCAUAUUAGUAUGCAUAGAUAAACAUAGUUUUCCUCUUCAGCAACUGGGAUUAUCCCAGCAGUAACUUCUGUCUUAUUGGCUAGGUCCAACCAGGGUUUUGUCCAGAGGAUGUGCCAGAUUAUGCUAGGAUGUUCUCUGGAGCAGCUAAAAGCACAUGUAGUUUGUGGUGAAUGCAAUUUCAGGGAACCAAGGCUUAAUCCCAGAGAUACAAUAAUAUCAGGCAUUGGACAGAGGAGCAAAGUCAGAGACAGCAGCUGAGAAGUUGAGAGCUGGCGUCAUUAGAACAGGCUGGGAAAUAUGAGUGUGAGGCAUGUCUCGGCAGGAAGGUCCAGCAUUGGCCGGGGAACAAAGCAGACUUCUUGGCAUGCCCUCUCGCUGAGGCUAUGUGAACUGCUGGGCAGGCCGGCCUGCUUAAAGAUCUCACUCCGGACAAGUAAACACCAAUACCACCAACCUGAGUAGGCCUUCCAUGAAAUACUGGGGACACUAAGAAGCCACACCCCCUGAAACAUUCUAUGGUCAUUCAGCAUUUGAAGCAAAUUGGAAAGGUGAAAAACCUGAUAAGUGGGUGCCUCAUGAGCUCACCGAAAAUUUUUUUAAAAAUUGUCGUUUUGAAGUGUCAUCUUCUCUUAUUCUAUGCAACAACAAUGAACCAUUUCUUGAUUGGAUUGUGAUGUGCGAGGAAAAGUGGAUUUUAUAUGACAACUGGCGAUGACCAGCUCAGUGGUUGGACCGAGAAGAAGCUCCAAAACACUUCCCAAAGCCAAACUUGCACCAAAAAAGGUCCUGGUCACUGCUUGGUGGGCUGCUGCUGGUCUGAUCCACUGCAGCUUUCUGAAUCCCUGGGAAACCAUUACACCUGAGAAGUAUGCUCAGCAAACCAAUGAGAUGCACCAAAAACUGCAAUGCCUGCAGCUGGCUUUGGUCAACAGGAAGGGCCCAAUUCUUCUCCACCACAAUGUCCGACUGCACAUCACAACCCACGCUUCAGAAGUUGAACAAAUUGGGCUACGAAGUUUUGCCUCAUCUCCCAUGUUCACCUGACCUCUCGCUGAGAAGUAGCUUUGGAGCUUCUUCUCGGUCCAAACACUGAGCUGGUCAUCGCCGGUUGUCAUAUAAAAUCCACUUUUCCUCGCACAUCACAAUCCAAUCAAGAAAUGGUUCAUUGUUGUUGCAUAGAAUAAGAGAAGAUGACACUUCAAAACUACCACUUCUUCAAGCAUCUCAACAACUUUUUGCAGGGAAAAUGCUUCCACAACCAGCAGGAUGCAGAAAAUGCUCUCCAAAAGUUUGUCAAAUCCUGAAGCAUGGAUUUUUAGGCUACAGGAAUAAACGUAUUUCUCACUGGCAGAAAUUUAUUGAUUGUAAUGAUUCCUUUUUUGGUUAAAGACAUGUUUGAGCCUAGUUAUAACGACUUACAAUUCACGGUCCAAAACUGCAAGUACUUUUUGCACCAGCGAGAUGUGCAUAUGAGAAGCUUAUUUCACCAAGCCUCUUAUCUAGUCAUCUGUAUAAUUAUUUCAAGCACAGGAGGGACCCUACUUCUUACUGGGGAGGAUUAAGGAAGGCUUCCUGGAGGAUUGUCUCAGAGCUUGCUGCAGGUGCAUAUUGAAAAGCAAUUCAUUACAAUUUUCUAUAAGAGACUGUGGCUGAACAAUGAUACACAGAUUAGCAAACUGAGGCUUGGAGAAGUGGAAAACUUGCCUAAGAUUAAACAGCAUUAAAGGAACAGAGGCUGGGCUUGCAACUCAGCUCUGGGACUCCAAAGUCUGCCCUUUCCAACUACAUCGUCUUGCUGAUCGCGAGCUCAGUUGAUGGUAAAGACCUGUGAUUUUGGCCAUUACAAACAGUGCUGUUGUGAAUGUUGUGCCUGCCUGUCUUCCAGCUGGACAUAGGCAACCACAUGAAGCACAGACCCAGGAGGCCUAAGCUGGCCUCGGUGUAGGAGAAGCCGGGCACAGGGAUGUUUUUGAAGAAGAAAGUGACCACUUGUCAAAGAAUUCAGGAUUGAUUCCUAACGCAGAGUGACUCAUCAAGAGACCCAGGUUCUAUUGGCCACCCCUCUUCAGCUGGUUAUUCAGGCUAGGGAAACUGUUUUUGUUUUUUAAGGGAAAGUUUAUAGAAAGUGAGAGAAGGUAGAUACGAGAUUCAAAAGACAAAGUAGAAAGAAAUGUGUGUUCUUUAAGGUAAGAGCAGGUACUUUUUAAGCAUAAUAUUGAAUUAACAUUUGGUGUAAUAUUGAAUUUAUAUAGUGUCAAUGUUGAAUUGAUGAAGGGAAAUCUGCAAGUGAAAGAGACACCAAACUGCUUUUGUGAUCGGAUAGUUUGUAUAUCUUGCUACUGAGAAUAUGUUUAAUCCUAUGCUUCAUAAAUAGCUACAUGGCACAGAGAAAGAUGGAAUACUUACCAAUUCACUUACGAAGUGAGCAAAACUAAAACCAUCAUAUAACAUUUUAACAAAAACCAUCAAACAAACUCUCCACCAAAACGAAUAAAAACAAAACUCUUCAGAUGCAACUGACACUGACUUGGGAAGACAAAUUUAAAAUGAGUGGAAAUACUAUGAAAUUAAAUUCUUAAUACCUUACAUUAAAUUAAAUAAUUAAAUUGAAAUCUUAAAGACUAUAAUCAGACCAUGUAAGGUUUACCAUAGAAAUGUAAGGAAUGGUUUAUUAAUGGGAAAUCUAUAAAGAAAAAAUUAUAUAAUCAUCUUAGCAGAUGAUACCCACUUGUGAUUUAAAAUAUUGUAAAGUAGGAAAAGAGAGUAGUUCCUUAACAGUACUUAUACAAAUAGUCACUGGAGACAUACUGUAGUAGAGUGUUCCCAUUAGAACUGGAAAUACGAUAACAAUAUAUUACCUUCAGUAUUUACAAUUAUUUAAUAGUAUUGUCUUCACUUUUAAAUAUUUUCCUGGAAGUUGUAGCCAUUGAAAUAAGAUAGGAAACAAACAAAAGACAGUGUGAUAAUUAAUUUUAGGUGUCAACUUGGCUGGGCUAUGGAGCUGAGAUGUUUGGUCAAACACCAGUGUAGAUGUUGCUCUGAAAAUAUUUUUUAGAUAUUAAUUUAAAUUAGUAGACUUUGAGGAAAACAGAUUAUCCCUCAUAAUGUGGGUGGGUUUCAGCCAAUCAGGCUUUAAGAGAAAAGACCUAGUUCCCUUGAGGGAGAAGAAAUUCUGCCUCCACACUGCCUUUGGACUUGAGACUGCAACAUCAGCUCCUUCCUGGGUCUCUAGCCUGCUGGCCUGUCCUGCAUAUGUUGAAUUUUCCAGCUCCAGAAUUAUGUGAGCCAAUUUCUUAAAAUACAGUCUCUGUACACAC
rnacentral:lncRNA from 1 species